AAGCUCGUAGUUGAAUUUCGGGGUCAGUAGGUUGGUCGUGCCACCGGUACGUACUGGUCUCACUGAUUCCUCCUUCCUGAUGAGCUGUAAUGCCAUCAAUUUGGUGUUGCAGGGAAUCUGGACUGUUACUUUGAAAAAACUUAGAGUGUUUAAACGCAGGCUAACGCUUGAAUACAUUAGCAUGGAAUAAUGAAAUAGGACGUUCGAUCCUAUUUUAGUUGAUUUCUAGGAUUGACGUAAUGAUUAAUAGGGUAUAGUUGGG
rnacentral:rRNA from 1 species